GCCACAUGAUGAUACAAUGAACUGAUUUUUUAAAAUGUCUACAAGACAUUUGAAACCAGAGUAGAAUGGUUUGGAAUCUUAGAGGCUGUACCUAAAUUGUGGUCCUCCUCUGUAAAGGCAAACCUAGAUAAACGUAUUCUGUGCUUUUUCUCUUCUGGAGUGGAUGCCUUAAAGACAGACAUUCAUUAACGAAGUCAGAUAUAUUCUCAACAAAAAAAUCACCGUUAAUAGUGAUGACUUGGUUCUUUAGUAAUCUGAUGGCA